GACGAACGCUGGCGGCGUGCCUAAUACAUGCAAGUUGAGCGCUGAAGGUUGGUACUUGUACCAACUGGAUGAGCAGCGAACGGGUGAGUAACGCGUGGGUAAUCUGCCUUUGAGCGGGGGACGACAUUUGGAAACGAAUGCUAAUACCGCAUAAAAACUUUAAACACAAGUUUUAAGUUUGAAAGAUGCAAUUGCAUCACUCAAAGAUGAUCCCGCGUUGUAUUAGCUAGUUGGUGAGGUAAAGGCUCACCAAGGCGAUGAUACAUAGCCGACCUGAGAGGGUGAUCGGCCAAAAUGGGAAUGAGACACGGCCCAAGCUCCUACGGGAGGAAGCAGGAGGGAAUCUUCGGCAAUUGACGAAAGUCUGACCGAGGAACGCCGCGGGAGGGAAGAAGGUUCUCGGAUCGUAAAACUCUGUUGGUAGAGAAGAACGUUGGUGAGAGUGGAAAGCUCAUCAAGUGACGGUAACUACCCAGAAAGGGACGGCUAACUACGUG
rnacentral:rRNA from 1 species